CCUACGGGUGGCAGCAGUGGGGAAUAUUGGGCAAUGGGCGCAAGCCUGACCCAGCAACGCCGCGUGAAGGAAGAAGGCUUUCGGGUUGUAAACUUCUUUUGUCAGGGAAGAGUAGUAGACGGUACCUGACGAAUAAGCCACGGCUAACUACGUGCCAGCAGCCGCGGUAAUACGUAGGGGGCAAGCGUUGUCCGGAUUUCCUGGGUGUUAAGGGGGUGUAGCCGGGUUGACAAGUCAUAUGUGAAAUGCUGCGGCUUAACCGCAGAACUGCAUUUGAAACUGUUGAUCUUGAGUACUGGAGAGGUAGACGGAAUGCCGAGUGUAGCGGUGAAAUGCGUAGAUAUUAGGAGGAACACCAGUGGCGAAGGCGGUCUGCUGGACAGCAACUGACGGUGAGGCGCGAAAGCGUGGGGAGCAAACAGGAUUAGAUACCCGUGUAGUC
rnacentral:rRNA from 1 species